rnacentral:tRNA from 1 species
GCUCGGGUGGCGAAACCGGUAGACGCGAGGGACUUAAAAUCCCUUGGGCCAAAGCCCAUGCGGGUUCGAUCCCCGCCCCGAGCA